rnacentral:rRNA from 1 species
CGGGACGGGUGAGUAACGCGUGGGUAACCUGCCUCAUACAGGGGGAUAACAGUUGGAAACGACUGCUAAUACCGCAUAAGCGCACAGGAUUGCAUGAUCCAGUGUGAAAAACUCCGGUGGUAUGAGAUGGACCCGCGUCUGAUUAGCCAGUUGGCGGGGUAACGGCCCACCAAAGCGACGAUCAGUAGCCGACCUGAGAGGGUGACCGGCCACAUUGGGACUGAGACACGGCCCAA